rnacentral:snRNA from 1 species
GUGCUCAGUCCCACAGCACAUAUCCUGAAAUUGGAAUGAUACAGAGAAGAUUAGCAUGGACUCAGCACAAGGAUGACCUGCAAAUUCAGGAAGCACGCCAUAUUUUU